AGGAAUAGAGGCCACACUGCAGGAGAGGCUAAUCCUCUACCAGUCCGCAGUGGAGAGUGCCAGGCAAGCUGGGGACAGCGCCAAGAUGCGACGCUAUGACCGGGGACUCAAGGUGAGCAGGAAAAGGCCAGGACCCAGGAGCACCGAGCUCACACUUGAUCUCAGACUCACAUCACAUCCUGUUUCAGACGCUGGAAAACCUGCUGGUCUCUGCAAAGAAGGGCAACACCAUCAAUGAAGCCGAUAUUCCACCACCUGUAGCCUCGGGGAAGGGGCCAGCAAUUGGGCACAGCCACACCCACACUACUUCCCACCUGGCUCCUGUAAGCCCGCCAGCCCCAGAGCCCAGCGUCACCUUGGAGGCCCCAUCUACCACUGCACAAACCUCUGCUAAGCCCCAGCUAUCCCCAGGUGAAUGGUGGGAAGGGCCAGGAUGAUACAAGGUCUAUGGAGGCUCUUCAGAGACCUUAACAUAUGGGCUCUGCACACAAUGGAAUACUAUGUAGCCAUGAAAAGGAGUUAAUUUCUUUUUAGCAUGUGCUCUAACAUGGAAGGACCAGGAGAACAUGAUGCUUUUUUUGGUUUCUUUUUGUGUUUUGGAGACAAGGCUUCUCUGUGUAGCCCUGGUUGUCCUGGAACUCACUCUGUAGACCAUGCCAGCCUCAGACUCACAGAGAGCCACCUGCCUCUGCCUCCUGAUUACUGGAAUUAAAGGCAUGUGCUACC
rnacentral:lncRNA from 1 species